UGCCCUAUGGCUCAGUUGGCUAGCGCGUGGAGCUGUUACGACUGAUCGCAACAACUCCGAGGUCCACGGUUCGAGCCCGUGUGGGGCAG
rfam:Trichosporon oleaginosus strain IBC0246 unplaced genomic scaffold CC85scaffold_92, whole genome shotgun sequence.